GACGAACGCUGGCGGCGUGCUUAACACAUGCAAGUCGAACGGAAAGGCCCUGCUUUUGUGGGGUGCUCGAGUGGCGAACGGGUGAGUAACACGUGAGUAACCUGCCCUUGACUUUGGGUUAACUUCAGGAAACUGGGGCUAAUACCGGAUAGGAGCUCCUGCUGCAUGGUGGGGGUUGGAAAGUUUCGGCGGUUGGGGAUGGACUCGCGGCUUAUCAGCUUGUUGGUGGGGUAGUGGCUUACCAAGGCUUUGACGGGUAGCCGGCCUGAGAGGGUGACCGGCCACAUUGCGACUGAGAUACGGCCCAGACUCCUACGGGAGGCAGCAGUGGGGAAUAUGGCACAAUGGGCGGAAGCCUGAUGCAGCAACGCCGCGUGCGGGAUGACGGCCUUCGGGUUGUAAACCGCUUUCGCCUGAGACGAAGCGUGAGUGACGGUAAUGGGUAAAGAAGCACCGGCUAACUACGUG
rnacentral:rRNA from 1 species